GGUCAUUAUCCAAACGUCUUUCAUACCUCCCACAGCACGCAAGUAUCUAUUAAAAUAAACAAUCAUUUUGUUAAAGAUUGGUCUGCAUGGGAGGUGAGGAUGCAUGAUGGGAGAAUGGGUUAGGUUGGGUUGCUUUCAAAUCAUGAAUGAUUUUUGGCCAUUCAUCUACAAAGGACGAUAAUGUUUCUUUGCCUCACCCACCAAUAUUGUUUUAAUAGC
rnacentral:lncRNA from 1 species